CAGAGAGCUGUGGGUACUCAAUAAAUAUUUGCAAAAUGCAUGAAAAACAGACAGUGAGACAGAAAGUGAGACAGAAGAAGAUAGAGCAACUCUGUAUGGCCAUCUAGAACUCCAGCUGAGCAAGAAGGCCAAGGAAGUGGACAGAAGGGAGAGGGGACCCUUGAGGUGGGAGGAGGC